ACGGAUCCUUCGGGAUUAGUGGCAGACGGGUGAGUAACGCGUGGGAAGCUACCUUGUGGUAGGGGACAACAGUUGGAAACGACUGCUAAUACCCUAUGAGCCCUAUGGGGGAAAGAUUUAUCGCCAUGAGAUGUGCCCGCGUUAGAUUAGCUAGUUGGUAAGGUAAUGGCUUACCAAGGCGACGAUCUAUAGCUGGUCUGAGAGGAUGAUCAGCCACACUGGGACUGAGACACGGCCCAGACUCCUACGGGAGGCAGCAGUGGGGAAUAUUGGACAAUGGGGGCAACCCUGAUCCAGCCAUGCCGCGUGUGUGAUGACGGCCUUAGGGUUGUAAAGCACUUUCAGCAGUGAAGAUAAUGACAUUAACUGCAGAAGAAGCCCCGGCUAACUUCGUGCCAGCAGCCGCGGUAAUACGAAGGGGGCUAGCGUUGUUCGGAAUCACUGGGCGUAAAGAGUACGUAGGCGGACUGAUAAGUUAGGGGUGAAAUCCCAAGGCUCAACCUUGGAACUGCCUUUGAUACUGUCAGUCUUGAGAUCGAGAGAGGUGAGUGGAACUCCGAGUGUAGAGGUGAAAUUCGUAGAUAUUCGGAAGAACACCAGUGGCGAAGGCGGCUCACUGGCUCGAUACUGACGCUGA
rnacentral:rRNA from 1 species